rfam:Paenibacillus sp. VKM B-2647 B-2647_006, whole genome shotgun sequence.
AGAGCCUUUAAACUCAGUCCAGAGAGGCUGACAAGGUGACGAAACGCAGCGACCCGGUCUGCGCGCGAGACGCGCAGAUAUGCGAGUCGGCUUGCGCCUACCUGCACAUAAGCGGGGAAGCCGCAUGCCGGCACGAAGCUGCACAGCGACGCAAGCGCGCCCCUUGUCCGACGGACAAGGGGCUUUUUGCU